rnacentral:rRNA from 2 species
AAAACGACUCUCGACAACGGAUAUCUCGGCUCUCGCAUCGAUGAAGAACGUAGCAAAAUGCGAUACUUGGUGUGAAUUGCAGAAUCCCGUGAACCAUCGAGUCUUUGACGCAAGUUGCGCCCGAAGCCAUUAGGCCGAGGGCACGUCUGCCUGGGCGUCACGC